GACAAAGGUCUAUUGACCAGGGGGAGGACGACUGUGGAGCAAUCUCAUGUUUGAGAGCUAUGGAGGGGAAGGAAGAACUGACUCCCAGUCAGCUUCAGGAAAUGGGAUGUGCCAAUGUCAUGCCUGUUCCACCCUGCAAACAUGGCAAGGAGUGUGAACCACAAGAAGGGCGACGAACUGGGUUGUCGAGUCACAGAAAUUACUCAGGGGACUUAAGUACUCAACUCCCCAAAUGAAUCAAGUGUCUUCCGUGUCAGCAAGAGUUCACCAUCCAAUGGUGAAGUGACCUCCCAGAAAGCUCCAUUCUCCCACUCAGUCUCAUUUGGAGUGUGAGCCCUCCCUACUUGGCAAGAUUCUGGAACUAUUAGACUAGAGAGUUUCCAGCACUUUUUGAAGGUCUAACCUGUGGCUGGAACAGAGAUCACUCAUUGGUGAAGCUUCCUUUGUGGUGACUCUUGGAAUGAACUAUGCUGGACCUGCCCCUCCUGUGACCUCCUGGUUGGUGGACAAACUCUGACAAAGGAGUCCUAUCCAUCACUUUGAUGAGAGAAGGUGAGAGCUAAACCUACCCGGCACACGCCUUCCUCCUGGGACAGCCUGCCUCCCAGAUGUGGCUUGGUCAUGUUUACAGGCACAGCAAUGGGAGGAGAAUGUGUGUCUCCUCCAUAGGAAGACCUUCAGUGGCUGUCCACUGGGUUCGGUGACUGGAAGCCAGGCUGUGCCCAGGAUGAAUGAGUUGGAGUAGAGGGUGGUUUCCAAGGCAGUUCAUGGAGUAGCCACUCACUACAUAGCCUCCUCUUCUAAGUAUGCUUGCCUGUGAAAGCAAGAUGGCUACACAUGCCUGGCUGUGCCCCUGCUUCUGAAGAUGCCAAGGGGGAAGGGCUGCCAGGAGUUUGAGGUGAACCUGGGACCCAUGUACAGCAAGAUUAUUUCAAAACAAAAACCUGCUUGCCAGGUAAGAUUGUGUGAGACCCUGCAAAUCACCUGACGAAGGGGCUGCUCAGGGAAAGCUGAGAUCUUCGUUUCUGUGGGAGUGGGUAAGGAAGCCCCUAACUCCAUUGACCGUCCAUUUUCAGUCCACACUGCGAUUCUCCUCUGUACAGAUCUUCUAAAACUGUACUAAAGUAUUUGGCCACAAAAAGAAAACAGCAGCCAUGCUCCCUUCCAGUUUGCAGAAAAAGAAGCUAAAUUAUAGCAGGCAAUAAAAUGUUUAUAUUGUUUUUCCCAAGUAUGUAUUUUUCAAACUUGUCAUACUUGGUACAAGCAUGACACAAAAUCAGUAAAACAGCAAACACAGACAACAACACUUUGAAACUUUGGACAAGAUACAACUGACCUCUCAGUUCAUUUGUGG
rnacentral:lncRNA from 1 species